UUGCCAGACUCCUACGGGAGGCAGCAGUGGGGAAUAUUGGGCAAUGGGCGCAAGCCUGACCCAGCAAUGCCGCGUGAAGGAAGAAGGCUUUCGGGUUGUAAACUUCUUUGACAGGGGAAGAGCAGAAGACGGUACCCUGAAAACAAGCCACGGCUAACUACGUGCCAGCAGCCGCGGUAAUACGUAGGUGGCAAGCGUUAUCCGGAUUUACUGGGUGUAAAGGGCGAGUAGGCGGGAUUGCAAGUCAGAUGUGAAAACUAUGGGCUCAACCGAUAGAGUGCAUUUGAAACUGCAGUUCUUGAGUGAUGGAGAGGCAGGCGGAAUUCCCGGUGUAGCGGUGGAAUGCGUAGAUAUCGGGAGGAACACCAGUGGCGAAGGCGGCCUGCUGGACAUUAACUGACGCUGAGGCGCGAAAGCGUGGGGAGCAAACAGGAUUAGAUACCCGUGUA
rnacentral:rRNA from 1 species